AUUGAGGUGGCUCGGGUAUCGAGUCCAGAUGCCUCCCUUGUGAGGUGUUCCGGGCAUGCCCAGCCGGUAGAAGGCCCCGGGGCAGACCUAGGAAAAGCUGGAGGGAUUAUGUCUCACAGUUUGCCUGGGAAUGUCUUGGGGUCCUCCCGGUGGAAAUGGAAGAGGUGGCCGGGGACUGGGAAAUCUGGACUUCCCUACUGACACUGCUACCCCCGUGACUAAGACCCGGAUGAGCGGCAGAAAAUGGAAAAGAAUGAAACAUGUUAUAUUUUGGGCUGUAUUAGUUUUGAAAGAUUUACUUAUUUAAAGUGUGGCAAAACAUGUACAGCAGUUUUUAUCGUUUGGGUAAAGUGUGUGAGUGAAUUUCAAAGCCCUCUUAACGGUUAAAUUAGCCGAGCAUUGUUUUUUGUUUUUUUUUACAAUUUGCACCCUUCGUUUUGGAUGUGGUUAGAUUAUACAGGUGUGUGAAUCAUCCUUGAACGUCUUGUAAAACGUUGUUACACUAUAUCACUUAUUUUCUGGUGCCUCUAGAAAUCUAGAAAAAAAUAACAUUUCAGAGGUCUUGUGAUGAUGCUCUGAACGGUCAGACGUCUGCCUGCCAUUGAAUCCUCGCCAUUAAAGCGGGAACCAUGCCAAAAGGUGGAAGAAAGUACCGUAACGCCGCUAAACAACACGCCGUCGAACGCCAUUUGUCGACGGGUGCCUUGCCUCCGUCGAGGGCCCAGCCUACUUCCUGGUGCCCUUUAGUCGAAGAAAAAUGGGAAGCACGGUGAUGGAGUCUGGCAAGGGAGGCUCCAAGAAGCUGCCCAAGAGGAGGAGAAGUCUGCGUAUUAACAUACCGGACUUUGCGGCAUUUACUUCUCCCCAAGCGGAAACGAGUUGCUCAACUAAAACCCCAAAGACGGGACAGCGUUGCAUACGCUCUGCCAGCCCCGCUAAGGGAGAGCCUGCUGUGAGGAAUGUGCCGCCAUGUCCGCAGUCAGCACCGGUGCAGUCCAAGUCCAGCUUGGGUUCUCCGAGAACCAUCUUUCCUUAUCCCUGCUAUCAGGACUCCGCACCCAAAUCCCCCCGCCGCCUCAGCUUCAGUGGCAUCUUCCGCUCUGCAUCCAGCACCAGCCCUGCAAGCAUCAAAAUAUUCUCCAGAGCCCGCAGAACCUCUGGACUCGCCACACCACCCACCACGCCAACACAGACACCCAGCCAGCCUGUGUUCACCCAGGAGGCCCCACAGAGCAUCCCAAGCCCAGAACGCUUCCUGGGGGACCGUUUCCGCUCCCGCUCUGUGUCCACGCCUCCAGACACAGGACAGCGUCUUGGCCGUCCCACGGCGAAACCCCCGAAACCUUCUCCAAGCCCUGUGCCGCAAUACUCUACCUCACAACAAGUGUCUGGUUUAUUCGAAGGUAUGCUGGAGAAACUUGACCUCGACGACGAUGCUGCUGAACCUGAGAGUGAUAUUUACAUGCGCUUUAUGAAAUCCCACAAGUGCUAUGACAUCGUCCCAACAAGCUCCAAACUGGUAGUGUUCGAUACAGCUCUCCAAGUGAAGAAGGCAUUCUUUGCCUUGGUCGCCAAUGGCGUUCGAGCGGCUCCAUUGUGGGACACAGAGAAGCAAAGCUUUGUGGGGAUGCUGACAAUCACAGACUUCAUCAUCAUCCUUCACAGAUACUACAAAUCGCCAAUGGUGCAAAUAUAUGAGCUGGAAGAACAUAAGCUGGAGACAUGGAGAGAGGUUUAUCUUCAAGCGACUUUCAAGCCUCUCGUCAACAUAUCGCCUGAUGCAAGCCUAUUCGAUGCAGUGUACACUCUGAUCAAAAACAAAAUUCACCGCCUGCCCGUCAUCGACCCUGUCACAGGGAACGCACUUUAUAUCCUCACGCACAAGAGGAUCCUCAAGUUCCUCCAGCUUUUUAUGUGUGAGAUGCCAAAGCCCGCCUUCAUGAAGCAGACUCUCAGGGAGUUGGGCAUUGGCACGUACCAGGACAUCGCCUUCAUCCACCCCAACACGCCCAUCAUCAAAGCCCUCAAUAUCUUUGUGGAGAGGAGAGUGUCUGCUUUGCCCGUGGUGGAUGAGUCAGGCAAAGUUGUGGACAUCUACUCCAAGUUUGACGUCAUUAACUUGGCAGCUGAGAAGACGUACAACAACCUGGACAUUACAGUGACUCAGGCCCUGAAACAUCGCUCACAGUACUUUGAAGGAGUCAUGAAGUGCCACAAGAUGGAAACAAUGGAGACCAUUGUAGACCGAAUUGUUAAAGCUGAAGUGCAUCGGUUGGUGGUCGUGGACGAGUGCUCCAGCAUUGAGGGCAUCGUUUCUCUGUCGGACAUCCUCCAGGCCCUGGUGCUCAGUCCAGCAGAUCACGGCACAGACCAUGACAAACUAGCUCUUGCAGCUCAGCCUCAUUUCCGGAAGUGACGUCAUAUCUCUCGGGUAAAGCAGAGUAAACAAACACUUCUCAAGGAGAAAGGUUUAAGACAACAAUUGACAAAACGGCUGCAAGGAGGAGAACCUGAGCGAGUGAGAGGAGCUGAAGAGGAGACAUGGUGAGAUAGAUGGACGUAGAAACCAAAGAGGAGUGUGCACUGAGGACUGUGCUUCUUGAAUGAAUGUGCUGAACUCUAAUCAGACUGCUUCAUUCAGUAAGCUGUACAUAGAUACAUUAAUAUAAAACACACUAUUCUAGUCACCUUGCCAGGGAAAGGUGAACCAGACAGGUUAUGAAUUUUUUUUUUUUUUUUAGUUCAGCAUUCACAAACGAUGCAUGUUUGUGUCCUUUGUGUAUGCUGCCGACACCAGCUCCCCUUUUGUUGGCAGUCGACAGUAGAGGGCAGUUUUUAUAGUUAUUAAUACACAUUACACCAUUUUCAAUUCCACACAAUUUAUUUCCAGAGAGAGUUAGCGUGUCAGGAAUGUUUAAGAAAAGUCAACACAGUUGGAGAUACAUGCUUUUCACUAGUCACCUUUGAAUGCAUUUUUUGUAAGCCGUAAAAAAAAAAAAAAAAAGAACCUGGCUGCUGCUGAACACGACUCAUCUCCAUGUUUUGACUGUAAAUAGAAUUAUUUUUGUUUCACAGAAAGCUUUAUUUUUUAUGCCUUGUGUUCGAACAGAUUGCAGUUUUAUGGGUUAUUUUUGUAAAUAUGCUGCUGGAUCCACCACAUGUACUGUAAAUGUGCAAAGCAUGACAAACACUUUACAGCGGUAUGAAUGUUCUUUUGCUUUUUUUGGUUUUUUUUUUUCUAUUUUUCUGCCUGCAGAAAAAUAAAAGACACUGAUUGUACUUUAAAGUCAUAUUUUUGCUAUUUUUUUUUCCUCCUUUGUGCAUUAUUCUUUUAUUUUGUUGCAUAAAACGCCUUGGUGGAGGUUUUGCCUUAUACAGUUGUCCCUCACCGCUGUUCGAAUAUUGCUCCCUCACUCAUUCGCGGUUUUUCAAAAGUUAAUUAAAUGAUCGCUGUUUGGUGGUUGUCUGUGGCCCAUUAUUAGUCAAAAAAUAUUUAGAUAAAAAAUAAAGUGAAAAGAAAUUCUCCUUUUGUUCAGUGUGGAAGUGGUAAAGUUUGGCUCAUACUUUGUCUUUCUCCCCCACUCUGAAACCUUUCUUGAGUUCAGAAUAAAUACAUUGGAGCCUCACUAGUUAGCCCGUUACCAUGCUAUGCAGCUGUGGUCGUGUCUUGUGACCCUGCAGUGAUCCCGUAGCGUGCGCAUUAGCAAUGUGGUGUAAACAAAGAAUAAUAGGCGUCUACAGGUGACUAUAGGGGUGUUAUUUCAUGUCUACAUGACUCUUAUAAUGGUAAAAACGUAUUUAGAAAGUCAAACAUUGGUGAACAAAUGAAUUGCAACUGAUAUGAAACAGAUGAGGGGUAGGAUUAAAUAAGAUUUGCUUCUUCCUAACCCUAAC